rnacentral:rRNA from 1 species
AGUGAACGCUGGCGGUAGGCCUAACACAUGCAAGUCGAACGGCAGCACAGAGGAGCUUGCUCCUUGGGUGGCGAGUGGCGGACGGGUGAGGAAUACAUCGGAAUCUACUCUGUCGUGGGGGAUAACGUAGGGAAACUUACGCUAAUACCGCAUACGACCUACGGGUGAAAGCAGGGGACCUUCGGGCCUUGCGCGAUUGAAUGAGCUGAUGUCGGAUUAGCUAGUUGGCGGGUAAAGGCCCACCAAGGCGACGAUCCGUAGCUGGUCUGAGAGGAUGAUCAGCCACACUGGAACUGAGACACGGUCCAGACUCCUACGGGAGGCAGCAGUGGGGAAUAUUGGACAAUGGGCGCAAGCCUGAUCCAGCCAUACCGCGUGGGUGAAGAAGGCCUUCGGGUUGUAAAGCCCUUUUGUUGGGAAAGAAAUCCAGCUGGCUAAUACCCGGUUGGGAUGACGGUACCCAAAGAAUAAGCACCGGCUAACUUCGUGCCAGCAGCCGCCGUAA